GCGCCAGUGUUGUAGGGGUAUCAUGCAAGAUUCCCAUUCUUGCGUACGGGUUCGAUUCCCGGCUGGCGCU
rnacentral:tRNA from 1 species